UUUGUCUUUCUUUGUCUAUUUCCACAGGUUGCCAGCAUUUCAGUCAGAUGUUGUGGAGAAGUACAACGGAGUUUGGUGUGGGGCUUGCUAAAAUGAAGAAUAAGGACCAAUAUGUUGUAGUUAUACAGUACCGCCCUCCUGGUAACAAUAAUUUACCAGGAGAAUUUCGAAAAAACAUACCACCGCCUAAAUAACUCUGGGAGUAUUUGUGUGUAUGUAUGUGUGAGUGAGUGAGUGGUGAGUGAGUGGGUGAGUGGGGGAGUGUGUGUGUGUGUGUGUGUGAGAGAGAGAGAGAGUCAGACAGUCAGACAAAGAGAAAUAAGCGUGUGUUUAUGCGUGAAAGGGUAUUUGUGAAUAUACGUAUAAAUGUGUGAGUGUUUAAAGCUUUUUUUACCCCAUAAAUAUAAAUAUAUGCCUAUGUGUGUAUAUACACAUACGUAUAAGGGAUUGACAAAAUUAGUAAAGAGCCGGACAAAAUAUAUUGCAAUAUUUAGUUUCGUCUCUUUACAAUCUAAGUUCAAAUCCCAUCGAGGUCUCUACUUUGCCUUUUACCCCCCUUGAGGCCCCUACAAUAAAGUACAAGUCAAAUAAACGAG